UUUUUUUCCCCACCAGUAAGAUUAUGAGUAUUUCUUGUUUACUGGAAAAAAAAAAACAACACCAAAACAACAAAAACAAAACGAAAUGAAACAACAGAGCUACCGUAUAUAUGUAAAGCUAUAAAAAGCUACCGUAAAAUGUGUAGUGAGUAUUGCUUAAAGAUAAAAACCAGGCAGGAAACUCGGAAUCUGGUGUGUUUUAACAACUGUGUUACAACGGUGGGUAACGUGCGCGGUGACAUCUGUCCCACUGGCAGUGGUGGGGGGCUGGUGGGGCUGGAGAGGGGGGCAUAGUAGGCAGGGAUCCUAGCCAUGGCCAGGACAGCGGUCUGGAAGCGAGGUGAACUGUCGGUUGUUAAAUAUACAAUGCUCCAUUUGGGAAAAAAACCCCUAAAAUCAACAACAAACAAACAAAACCCCAAAAAAACAAAAAAAAAAGGGGGGGGAGAAAAUAAAAACACCCAACAGCAAAAAAGUUUUCAUAGAGAAGGGGGAGGAAAAGAGAAGGGGGGAGAGAGCAGAGAAAUAGUGCAAAAUGCUAUUGUACUAGUGGUUUUCGAGGUCCACUGCAGUACAGACAAGGGGCAGCCCAGCUGCUGAGCGCUGUGCCCCGGGGAGAUGUGAUAGAAGGGCUGUCCUGACCCCUGUGCCAUCCUCGCCCUCUCCUUCCCAGCUCACAUCCCGGGUACCAGUGCAGGCUCGGUGCAAAGACCAUGGCUGGAGACCUCCAAGCCUCACACCUCUCCCUUAUCCACCAAUCGCCAGCAUCUCCCCAUGUGCCUCGCCCCCUUCUCCCUGUCCUCCCCAGCUCCCACAUCUGCCCCUUUUGGUUUUCUCACCCUAAAUGCAAAGGGGUGCUGCUGGGUGCUGAGAACGGCAGCACCUCGUCAUUGCCACCCCUUCUGAAGCUGCUCUUGCCUCCAUCCCGACCCAGGCUCCAACCCUAGUCCUAAAUAUUAGUGCAGCCUGCAAACAGCCUCAUCCUGCCAGGGUUCCUCUAGGGACUGGGCGGCUGGGGGCUCGCUUGGUGCCCUGUCCUAGGAGCCAAGGUGGUUUGGGGGGACAAAGGUGGUUUGGGCAGCCCCCUCCUUGCAUCCUCCUCCCCCCAGGCUGGUGGGGACAGGACAGGCAGUGCUGUCCCACCAAUGGAUGUGCAGCAGGGAGGGAGGCUGCGCGGGAUGGAUUUUGGGCCCCCAGGCCAUGGCUGAGACUUGCUUUCUAGGGAGAGGUCGGGGAAACACCCUGCAUGCCCUUCCCAGUGCCACUGUGGUGGCCACAUCACGAGACCACACCAGGCCCCAUGAGCUCAUUCUGCAAAAGCUCCCAUCCCGCCCCAGCAGUACAUCUCCUUUUUCUGUAGCCAAAGGCUUUCAAGUUUUGGGAAAUUAAACAACAAAACAAACAAACAAAAAAGCAAGAGAGAGAGAAGGAGGGAAGGGUCCUGGGGAAGGUGGUACUGGCCUAUAACAGAGGUUUUGCACAGGGAUCGGUGAGCAAAGGAGACAGAGACAGCAUCAAUGAUGGCAAACAGUGGCCCUAGGGGUUAGCAUGAGCUCCCCAUAAUCCUGCUGUCUUCACUACAUUCUUCACCCCACCUUCACUGUACCAUUAACCCACCACCCUGGUCAAACCAACCCUGCUCCAUCAGCCUUGCAGAGCCCAGAGGGGUCCCUCCCUUGGCCCCAGCACCCGUGAUGCUCCCCCUCCAGCAACACAGGAUCAUCCCGUUCCGGCAAUUUCUUUUGAGGGGGGCAGAUCUGCAUUUGGUGGCACCCUCCAUUCUUUUCAUCAAGGGAAGAUGCCUCACCCCCAGCUCCAAACAUGCCUCACUGGGUCUCCACUGAAGUCCACUGGCAAACUUUCCCCUGCUGCAACUCCAAGUGAAAUAACUGUGGGACAUCCAGUCCUGCCCUUGACUGGGGCAAGUGUCCUGGUGGGGGGCCUGCAAGGUGCUCCAGAAGUGAUGCCAUGCCGUGGGAGGCUAUGAGGGCACCUGACCAGUGAUGGAGAGGAGCCUCCACCAGACCCCCUUGUCACUGAAUCCCCCUUGUCCCAUCCCGCAGGGACCCGGUGGUGCUGUGGACCCCCUAUCCUCUAUGCCCACAUCCGGGAUGCUCAAAGGGGCUUUGGGGUGCAGAAACCUUCCCCCUGAGAUCAGCUGUGUCCUUUGGCCAGUGCCAGCUGCCAGCUCCAGCCGUGGUAGUGGGAUGUGGUCCAUAGUGGAUGUGUAUAUGCCCACUGGGAUCGCAGCACCCAGACACCACCGCUUGCUUUCCUUUCAUUUCCUUCCUUCACUGCAGGAUCUCCUCCCAGCGCCAACAUCGCAGAGACCCUUGUCGUGGGGAAGCAAAAGCCAAGAGUCCUGAAACUGAACGUAAAAAUGAAAAACAAAGUCAGGAAGGCAGCCGAGGGCUGCACCAGCAUGCCUGAGGCAGUGGGUCUCCAUGGUGCGGUGGCUGCUGUCACUCAAGGAUUGGGGUCCCCAUGUUUAAGGCGAGGGCCUGUUGCAGUAUCUUACUGCAGGGUGGUGGGAGUCAGCUGUGGCAACGUGAGCAGUAUCCUCAAUGCGAAAGGAUGGAGACCAGCGUUUUCCUACCCAUGGGGAAGGCUAUAAACCAGCCUUAACAAAAAUCCAAUGCGAAACAAAAUGUAGGUUUGUUUUCCCCCCUCCCUGAAGCAAACCACUUUUUUGGCUGUGGAAAAAAAAUAAAAUUAAAAAAGAAAUCUCCAUAGUUGGUCUUCCUCAUGGCAGUGAAGGGUGGUGAAGAGUUUUGGCCCCGAUUCCCCUGUCCUCAUGUACGGAUGCUUCAGUCUGGACAGCGCUGGAAUAUCUGCAGGGUCAGCUCAGAUGCAGCCCUCAGCGUUGGUGGGGCCC
ensembl:lncRNA